UACGUAGGGGGCGAGCGUUAAUCGGAAUUACUGGGCGUAAAGCGUGCGCAGGCGGUUCGUUAAGUUCGAUGUGAAAGCCCCGGGCUCAACCUGGGAAUUGCAUUGGAAACUGGCGGGCUUGAGUGUGGCAGAGGGGGGUGGAAUUCCACGUGUAGCAGUGAAAUGCGUAGAGAUGUGGAGGAACACCGAUGGCGAAGGCAGCCCCCUGGGCUAACACUGACGCUCAGGCACGAAAGCGUGGGGAGCAAACAGG
rnacentral:rRNA from 1 species